rnacentral:rRNA from 1 species
UACAGAGGUCUCAAGCGUUGUUCGGAUUCAUUGGGCGUAAAGGGUGUGUAGGUGGCGCCGUAAGUCGGGUGUGAAAUUUCGGGAGCUUAACUCCGAAACUGCAUUCGAUACUGCGGUGCUUGAGGACUGGGAGAGGAGACUGGAAUUCAUGGUGUAGCAGUGAAAUGCGUAGAGAUCAUGAGGAAGACCAGUGGCGAAGGCGGGGUCUCUGGGACAGUUCCUGACACUGAGACACGAAGGCCAGGGGAGCAAACGGG